GUGGUAGUAGUAAUAUCGUCGCUAUCACUUUACUGUUGUUGCUAAUAUGAAUAUUAUGCUAAACAUAUAACGGCUGCUAAUGGCACAAUCAGUGACACAAUAAAGAAAAUGGUUAGCUGUUUUUAGUUACGUAUAUUUCCGUUCUGUGUUCAAACACACUGGGGUUGGUAAAAUAAACACUAAUCAAACACUGAAAAAGAUGUUAAUCAACUGGUAAACGGCAGCAUGAACAAAUAUCAGUCAAGACUGUCUCUGGAUGAACUUUGAAAUGAUGUUGAUGUCAGAAAAAUAUAAGGUCAAUAUUGAUAACUACCAGUAAAAGGCUUCUAACAAAGAAUUGAAGAACAGCAAGUAAGUCUGUAUUUCGUACUACGCUGAAGGAUUACGAAAUUAUAAGCGGAAUAUUCAUUGACCAAGUGGUUUUGACGGUAUUCAAUUGCAGAAUUUGAUAUUGUCAGAAUGGUUUGAAAAUUUUUGGCACAGGGCCAGAAGAGUCAAUGGACUGCGGCCAUGCUGCAGCACUGCUUUGAAGAAUUUUUAGCCGAAUAAAUCGACCCAAGUACUCUAUUUUGCCGAACCGCUAAGUUGCAGAAACAUAAACACACCAGCACUAGUUGCCAGUCGGUGGUGGGGGACAGACAGACAGACACAGACAGACAGAUAGAUAGACAUACAGACAGACAGACGGACAGGCAGACAGACACACACACACACACACACACACACACACACACACAGACUUCUUUCGGGUUCUGUCUACUAAAUCCACUCGCAAGGCUUUGGUCGACCCGAGGCUAUAGCAGAAGACACUCGCCCAAGGUGCUACGCAGUAAGAUUGAACCCGUAACCAUGUGGUUGGGAAGCAAACCUCUCACCACACAACCACCAUAUAUUUUCGCGCAGGCAGCACCAUCCACCAGUUAUAUGCAAGCAAGCAUUAUAGAACGUAUGAACACAACGUGUUUUAAAAUGUUUUCAUGACA